rnacentral:rRNA from 1 species
UACCCUCGGGAGGGGGAUAACCCCGGGAAACUGGGGCUAAUCCCCCAUAGGCCUGGGGUACUGGAAGGUCCUCAGGCCGAAAGGGUCUCUGACCGCCCGAGGAUGGGCCGGCGGCCGAUUAGGUAGUUGGUGGGGUAACGGCCCACCAAGCCGAAGAUCGGUACGGGCCAUGAGAGUGGGAGCCCGGAGAUGGACACUGAGACACGGGUCCAGGCCCUACGGGGCGCAGCAGGCGCGAAACCUCCGCAAUGCGGGCAACCGCGACGGGGGGACCCCCAGUGCCGUGGCAACGCCACGGCUUUUCCGGAGUGUAAAAAGCUCCGGGAAUAAGGGCUGGGCAAGGCCGGUGGCAGCCGCCGCGGUAAUACCGGCGGCCCAAGUGGUGGCCGCUAUUAUUGGGCCUAAAGCGUCCGUAGCCGGGCCCGUAAGUCCCUGGCGAAAUCCCACGGCUCAACCGUGGGGCUUGCUGGGGAUACUGCGGGCCUUGGGACCGGGAGAGGCGGGGGGUACCCCUGGGGUAGGGGUGAAAUCCUAUAAUCCCAGGGGGACCGCCAGUGGCGAAGGCGCCCCGCUGGAACGGGUCCGACGGUGAGGGACGAAGGCCAGGGGAGCGAACCGGAUUAGAUACCCGGGUAGUCCUGGCUGUAAAGGAUGCGGGCUAGGUGUCGG